AUUAUACCUAUUUCCACAGAAUAUAUGCUAAAAUUAGAAUGGCAGCAGAAGACCAGCCCUGGUCCCUGUGUAAGAUUGAUACACAUAUGCAAGAAGUACUCCACAGUUUU
rnacentral:snRNA from 1 species